GUGGAGAUGGCUCAGUGGUUAAGAGCAUGAGUUUUUAACUUCCAGAGGUCAUGAGUUCAAUUCCCAGUAACCACA
rnacentral:tRNA from 1 species